rnacentral:rRNA from 1 species
GAUGAACGCUAGCGGCAGGCCUAAUACAUGCAAGUCAAGGGGGCAGCAAUGUCACCGGCGAACGGGUGCGUAACGCGUACGCAACGUACCUUUGAGCGGGGGAUAGCUUUGGGAAACUGGAGGUAAUACCCCAUAGUAUUCUGAUGUGGCAUCACAAUGGAAUUAAAACUGAGGUGCUCAAAGAUCGGCGUGCGUCCCAUUAGUUAGUUGGCGUGGUAACGGCACACCAAGACGAUGAUGGGUAGGGGGCGUGAGAGCGUGGCCCCCCACACGGACACUGAGAUACGGGUCCGACUCCUACGGGAGGCAGCAGUAAGGAAUAUUGGUCAAUGGAGGGAACUCUGAACCAGCCAUCCCGCGUGCAGGAUGAAGGGGCUCUGCCCUGUAAACUGCUUUUGAAUGGGACGAAAAAGCCUCACUUGUGAGGAACUGACGGUACCAUUAGAAUAAGCACCGGCUAACUCCGUGCCAGCAGCCGCGGUAAU